ACCUAAAAUUGCACAUUUUUACAAAACUGAGCGCACCUUAGGACAAUGCCAGUUGCUCGUAUUCCUUGUAUGUUUGUUUAUCGUCUACCUUACAGUUUCUUGAUUUUAAGUAUUAUUAAAUUUUUUGCGGUAGUUAAGUAAUAAAAUGUGUCAGUGACUGUACGCAACCACAAACGUUUUUGUAAAUUAAUUCUAAGAUUUCUCAUGUAAGUGAAUUUAUAAUUCUUAUGGGAAAAUAAAUAUAUCUCGACACUCAAAUUAGACAAAAUAAUAGAAUAUUAACACGUUUGUGGACAGAACGAGAUUAAACAUCAUCGUUCGAAAUUAACGCGCAACGUGUAUACACGUCCCGCGCACAUAUCACGCUUGGUUGUGUCAUGAUGUCUUGGGACGAUACGCUACGAUGGGACGCUACGUACAUACACGUCGUAUAAUUUGUAUGGACAUUUACUGUGUCAUUUUGGUACACAAUCUAAAGUUGUAGUGUCCGCGAACGUGUUAAAAAAAAUACCCACAGACAGUUGACAUUUUAACAUUUUUUUUAACUUGGCUCGUUGCUAUAUGCGCAUUGCCACCAUAGACAUAAAUAAUAAUUCGCGGGAAUUAGCAGUAUAAAAGCAGUAAAAUUCGAAGUGAAGACUGAUUUUUUUGUAAUUUUUUGCUUCACAUAUAGACUGCUGAGCCAUUUAUGUCACCUUUCUUCAUUUUUUGGGAAGCUAUAACAAUAGUACAACAGUUUUAGAAUCCAUCACACAUAUUUUGUCUCAUUACAAGAAUUCAUGGGCACCCUAGUUGUUUAAUUUACGAAUAUGUUAUUAUUAGCUAACUUGUGGAACGAUAUAUUGCAACCACCAUAGGAUUCACUUUUACAAGUAUAAACGCAAGACUUUUUCACCAUUUUAGUAGUUUAAAUUGAUUUCGCAGCGCUCGCGAACAAUUUGGUUCGGCCGCCGCCAUAUAAGUAAAUUAUUUUUGUAAAAUUUCAAUAUUAACAUACCUACGAGCGACGCCAAAGCGUGGCUGGCUAAGUCAUGGCAUUCCAUUAUGGAGAAAUAGUACCGACUCAAACCAUUUUCACCUUACAGACAAACUGAUUGGAAUAUUUAACAAAAUAUUGAACCGACAGACAUCUGCAAACCACAAUUUCAAAGGCACAAAAUACAUUUAUACUCACCUGUCUGUCCAUCUUGGAAGCAAGGCAUAGAAAGAAAAAGAAAAUGUCCGACACUACUCAGAAUAUAGGCACUAAUCACAGUAAUUACCCCGAAUAUUGUACUACCCACAAGAUAUUAAGAAUAAAUCCAGUUCACAAACUUAUAAACGUCUAGAUGGAGCGUUGAUUGAUGUUGGCUGACAGGCGCUUUACCGCCAAUCAUACAAUCUGCUAAGUUAUUUAAAAAACUGGGAACCCACUCAUCGUUAAAGUUUCGAUUUCGAUCAGAGGAGACACGUCAUAUGCUGAUGGUUUGAUGUUAACGUCAAGCAAUGUUGGAAGAUGAUAGCUACCCAUGGGUCAUCAUGAACAUACCGGUUACAUAAAUGAGCUAUUGAAGAGCUAGGGAAGCUAGAGAAGAGCAAGGGCAAGAUCUAUAGCUGAGGCUUGUCUAUUGGGAUAAGGAAAAGUUGUCGGUGAUCCAUCAUUCAAAAUACAUAAGUCAAAUUCAUCAAUAAUAUUAAGCAAACAACUACUCUAAUGUUAUCAAUCUGGCAUCCAAAAGCUAUGUUAUGAGCAUUAAAAUCACCCAUGAUAAUACAA
rnacentral:lncRNA from 1 species